rfam:Acidobacteriales bacterium 13_2_20CM_55_8 13_2_20cm_scaffold_250, whole genome shotgun sequence.
CUGAGGACAUCGUGAGGUGUUCUGACCGUGCAGCAGAAGUCAGCAGAGGGCGUAGUAGUCGCCACAGUGACGAAGGCC